rnacentral:rRNA from 1 species
AUGGGAGUUUACCUUAGUACCCCCAAAACUGAGAAGCUAUCUGAAGAUGGGGAAAAUGAUCAACUUAAAUUUGGACUUUCAUCUAUGCAAGGGUGGCGUGCGAGUAUGGAAGAUGCUCAUUCAGCCUUGCUAGAUAUCGAUGAGGACACAUCAUUCUUCGGUGUUUUUGAUGGACAUGGAGGAAAAGUGGUUGCCAAAUUCUGUGCAAAAUAUCUACACAGGGAAGUUCUCAAAAGCGAAGUUUAUUUAGCUGGUGACCUGGGAGCUGCUGUCCAUGGAGCUUUCUUCAGAAUGGAUGAGAUGAUGCGGGGUCAAAGAGGCUGGCGAGAACUACAGGCACUUGGAGAUAAAAUAAACCAGUUUACUGGCAUGAUAGAAGGGCUGAUCUGGUCUCCGAGAGGCAGUGAUUCAAAUGAUCGACAUGAUGAUUGGGCUUUUGAGGAGGGACCUCACUCUGAUUUUAGCGGGCCAACCUGCGGGAGUACAGCCUGUGUUGCAAUGAUAAGGAAUAGUCAACUUGUUGUGGCAAACGCCGGAGAUUCCCGCUGUGUUAUCUCAAGGAAUGGCCAGGCAUACAAUUUAUCAAGAGAUCACAAACCAGAGCUUGAAGCAGAGAGAGAACGGAUAUUGAAAGCAGGGGGUUACAUCCAAAUGGGACGAGUAAAUGGAACUAUAAACUUGUCAAGAGCAAUUGGAGAUAUGGAAUUUAAACAGAAUAAAUUCUUGUCUCCUGAUAAGCAAAUGUUGACAGCAAACCCUGAUGUAAACACUGUCGAGCUUUGUGAUGAUGAUGACUUUCUUGUUUUAGCAUGUGAUGGCAUUUGGGACUGCAUGUCGAGCCAACAGCUAGUCGAUUUCAUCCAUGAGCACCUAAAGACAGAGAGCAGCCUUUCUGCAGUGUGUGAAAAGGUGCUCGAUAGAUGCCUGGCUCCAUCAACAUUAGGUGGAGAAGGAUGCGACAACAUGACGAUGAUCCUAGUGCAGUUCAAGAAGCCAAUUGACCAUGGCAAAAAUGCCAGUGCUGGUGAACAAUCAGCUGUUGGGGAUAAGAAUGUAAGUGCUGGUGAACAAUCAACGGCCGAGGAUAAGAAUGCUAGUGCUAGCGAUCAAUCAGCUGUCGAGGACAAGAAUGCUAGUGCUGGUGGACAAUCAGCUGUCGGGGACAAGAAUGCUAGUGCUGGAGGACAAUCGCCUGGUGACAUAGAACAGUCCGCGAACGAGGAGAAGAACUCGUGA